AGGGAAGAGGGGCAGAGGGAUGGAGACGCGAGCGAGGGAGCCCCCUAGAGACCGGGGACCGGGGGAGGCCGGGGGCGGGGAACCCGGGCGUCUCCAGGUGCGCGCACCAGCUCCGGGGCCUGGAGUGCUCGGGGCGGUGGGCACCGGCUCCCGCCCCGCCACGGCGCGGGCGAGGCCGGGGGCUCAGAGGCCGAGCGGGAGGGCCGCGUUCCUCGGAAAAGUCGUCUCCAAGGGCAGAAUCCUCCCUCCCUCCCGGGCCGGCUGGGGCGGCCAGAGCGUGUCACCCCACCCAGGCCCGCAGCUCCCGCUCUCAGGCCCGGCCCGGGGGAGGCGCUGCAGCCCGGCACCUGCCCGAGAGCCCGGGGGCCCGGGUGCAGGUGGAGCGGUGGGGCGAGGAUUCGGAGGCAAAGGGGUCUAGUUCUCCCCGCUUCUCGCGCACCUGUCAGAUCUGCGGCUUCUGAAAAAAGCUUUCAAUAGGCAUCGAUCUUCGGUAGCGGACUGCCAGACUUUGGGCUGUAGUCUGUAAACUCCAGGCUCCCCUUCAGCGCGUGGGAACUGGCAACAUCCACUUGUUAUGCACUGUGCGGAAGGGAAGCAGCCCCUGAAACAGAGCUUCUUGGUGUCUGACUAGCAGAACCCCAAGCUCUUCAAAGCCUGGUGAGGGCGCCUACUUCCGCAUGCUGGAGAAGUCUGCCUUCAUGUCCCUGGCCCUGGGAACCAUGCCUUUCAGAUGAUACUGGUAGCCUUUCCGGAGCGUCUUGUCAAUUCUGGUUUCUCAGUUGGUUCCUAGAACCCACUGUUUAUGGACUGGACAUGAUGAGGUGAACUGGAAAA